CUUGAUCGAGCCCAGCCACAGCGGCCCGCCCGCACGUUCCACGCCGUACGUGGCCAGCAGGCUUCGGGCCUC
rnacentral:antisense_RNA from 2 species